GCAAUUUUAGUGAUGAACUUAUAGUUCAGCUGAUAUAUUGUGCUGAUAAACAUAUAAUUGUCUUUCGCUCCUAUCUGAAAAAUUGC